UAGGGAAUCUUCGGCAAUGGACGGAAGUCUGACCGAGCAACGCCGCGUGAGUGAAGAAGGUUUUCGAAUCGUAAAGCUCUGUUGUAAGAGAAGAACGAGUGUGAGAGUGGAAAGUUCACACUGUGACGGUAUCUUACCAGAAAGGGACGGCUAACUACGUGCCAGCAGCCGCGGUAAUACGUAGGUCCCGAGCGUUGUCCGGAUUUAUUGGGCGUAAAGCGAGCGCAGGCGGUUAGAUAAGUCUGAAGUUAAAGGCUGUGGCUUAACCAUAGUACGCUUUGGAAACUGUUUAACUUGAGUGCAAGAGGGGAGAGUGGAAUUCCAUGUGUAGCGGUGAAAUGCGUAGAUAUAUGGAGGAACACCGGUGGCGAAAGCGGCUCUCUGGCUUGUAACUGACGCUGAGGCUCGAAAGCGUGGGGAGCAAACAGGAUUAGAUACCCUGGUAGUCCACGCCGUAACGAUGAGUGCUAGGUGUUAGACCCUUUCCGGGGUUUAGUGCCGCAGCUAACGCAUUAAGCACUCCGCCUGGGGAGUACGACCGCAAGGUU
rnacentral:rRNA from 1 species